CAACCUCAACUCAUAUGGGACUACCCCCUGAAUUUAAGCAUAUUAAUUAGGGGAGGAAAAGAAACUAACAAGGAUUUUCUUAGUAGCGGCGAGCGAAAAGAAAACAGUUCAGCACUAAGUCACUUUGUCUAUAUGGCAAAUGUGAGAUGCAGUGUAUGGAGCGUCAAUAUUCUAGUAUGAGAAAUUAAUGAUUUAAGUCCUUCUUAAAUGAGGCCAUUUACCCAUAGAGGGUGCCAGGCCCGUAUAACGUUAAUGAUUGCUAGAUGAUGUUUCCAAAGAGUCGUGUUGCUUGAUAGUGCAGCACUAAGUGGGUGGUAAACUCCAUCUAAAACUAAAUAUAACCAUGAGACCGAUAGUAAACAAGUACCGUGAGGGAAAGUUGAAAAGACUCUGAAUAGAGAGUUAAACAGUACGUGAAACUGCUUAGAGGUUAAGCCCGAUGAACCUGAAUAUCCGUUAUGGAAAAUUCAUCAUUAAAAUUGUAAUAUUUAAAUAAUAUUAUUAAGAAUAAUGUGCAUUUUUUCCAUAUAAGGACAUUGUAAUCUAUUAGCAUAUCCCAAAUUUAUCAUAAAAUAUAACUUAUAGUUUAUUCCAAUUAAAUUGCUUGCAUUUUAACACAGAAUAAAUGUUAUUAAUUUGAUAAAGUGCUGAUAGAUUUAUAUUAUUACAGAGCGUUAAUUUUUCGGAAUUAUAUAAUGGCAUAAUUAUCAUUGAUUUUUGUGUUUAUUAUAUGCUCUUGUAUGAUUAACAAUGCGAAAGAUUCAGGAUACCUUCGGGACCCGUCUUGAAACACGGACCAAGGAGUCUAACAUAUGUGCAAGUUAUUGGGAUGUAAACCUAAUAGCGUAAUUAACUUGACUAAUAAUGGGAUUAGUUUUUUAGCUAUUUAUAGCUAAUUAACACAAUCCCGGGGCGUUCUAUAUAGUUAUGUAUAAUGUAUAUUUAUAUUAUUUAUGCCUCUAACUGGAACGUACCUUGAGCAUAUAUGCUGUGACCCGAAAGAUGGUGAACUAUACUUGAUCAGGUUGAAGUCAGGGGAAACCCUGAUGGAAGACCGAAACAGUUCUGACGUGCAAAUCGAUUGUCAGAAUUGAGUAUAGGGGCGAAAGACCAAUCGAACCAUCUAGUAGCUGGUUCCUUCCGAAGUUUCCCUCAGGAUAGCUGGUGCAUUUUAAUAUUAUAUAAAAUAAUCUUAUCUGGUAAAGCGAAUGAUUAGAGGCCUUAGGGUCGAAACGAUCUUAACCUAUUCUCAAACUUUAAAUGGGUAAGAACCUUAACUUUCUUGAUAUGAAGUUCAAGGUUAUGAUAUAAUGUGCCCAGUGGGCCACUUUUGGUAAGCAGAACUGGCGCUGUGGGAUGAACCAAACGUAAUGUUACGGUGCCCAAAUUAACAACUCAUGCAGAUACCAUGAAAGGCGUUGGUUGCUUAAAACAGCAGGACGGUGAUCAUGGAAGUCGAAAUCCGCUAAGGAGUGUGUAACAACUUCACCUGCCGAAGCAACUAGCCCUUAAAAUGGAUGGCGCUUAAGUUGUAUACCUAUACAUUACCGCUAAAGUAGAUGAUUUAUAUUACUUGUGAUAUAAAUUUUGAAACUUUAGUGAGUAGGAAGGUACAAUGGUAUGCGUAGAAGUGUUUGGCGUAAGCCUGCAUGGAGCUGCCAUUGGUACAGAUCUUGGUGGUAGUAGCAAAUAAUCGAAUGAGACCUUGGAGGACUGAAGUGGAGAAGGGUUUCGUGUGAACAGUGGUUGAUCACGAGUUAGUCGGUCCUAAGUUCAAGGCGAAAGCCGAAAAUUUUCAAGUAAAACAAAAAUGCCUAACUAUAUAAACAAAGCGAAUAUAAUACACUUGAAUAAUUUUGAACGAAAGGGAAUACGGUUCCAAUUCCGUAACCUGUUGAGUAUCCGUUUGUUAUUAAAUAUGGGCCUCGUGCUCAUCCUGGCAACAGGAACGACCAUAAAGAAGCCGUCGAGAGAUAUCGGAAGAGUUUUCUUUUCUGUUUUAUAGCCGUACUACCAUGGAAGUCUUUCGCAGAGAGAUAUGGUAGAUGGGCUAGAAGAGCAUGACAUAUACUGUUGUGUCGAUAUUUUCUCCUCGGACCUUGAAAAUUUAUGGUGGGGACACGCAAACUUCUCAACAGGGCCGUACCAAUAUCCGCAGCUGGUCUCCAAGGUGAAGAGUCUCUAGUCGAUAGAAUAAUGUAGGGUAAGGGAAGUCGGCAAAUUAGAUCCGUAACUUCGUGAUAAGGAUUGGCUCUGAAGAUUGAGAUAGUCGGGCUUGAUUGGGAAACAAUAACAUGAUUUAUGUGCUCGUUCUGGGUAAAUAGGAGUUCUAGCAUUUCGUGUUAGUUACUUGUUCCCGGGAUAGGUUAGUUACGUAGCCAAUUGUGGAACUUUCUUGGCUAAAAUUUUUAAGAAAUACUUAUUGGGGUUAAACCAAAUAGGUUCUUUAUCAAUU
rfam:Drosophila sechellia strain Rob3c scaffold_2765 genomic scaffold, whole genome shotgun sequence.